rnacentral:lncRNA from 1 species
CCCAGUUGGUUCCAGUUGGGUCCAGUUGGUCCCAGUUGGUCCCAGUCUGGCCCAGUUGGUUCCGAUCCGGUCCCAGUUGCCCCCAGUCCAUCCCAGUUCAUCCCAGUUCAUCCCAGUUCAUCCCAGUUCAGUUCAUCCCAGUCAAUCCCAGUUCAUCCCAGUCAAUCCCAGUUCAUCCCAGUUCAGUUCAUCCCAGUCAAUCCCAGUCCAUCCCAGUUCAUCCCAGUUCAUCCCAGUUCCUCCCAGUUCAUCCCAGUCCAUCCCAGUCCAUCCCAGUUCAUCCCAGUUCCUCCCAGUCCAUCCCAGUCCAUCCCAGUCCAUCCCAGUUCAUCCCAGUUCAUCCCAGUCCAUCCCAGUUCAUCCCAGUCCAUCCCAGUCCAUCCCAGUUCCUCCCAGUUCAAUCCCAGUUCAUCCCAGUCCAUCCCAGUCCCUCCCAGUUCAUCCCAGUCCAUCCCAGUGCCUUCCAGUCUGGCCCAGGCCCCCCCAGUGCCUUCCCCCACCCCCAAUAAAGGCGUGGCCAGUCGAUGACGUCACCGCGUUCAGUUUGAGGGGGGCGUGGCUUUACCGGGGCGGGGGCGGGGCCACAUCCUGGCCCAGUUUUACUGGUUUUAACUGGUUUUUGAUGGUUUUUCGCUGCGGGCGCGACCCAGUACAAACCAGUCUGGCACUGGCGGGGUCCCAGUGCGUCCCAGUUUGUCCCAGUAUAAACCAGCGGCUCCCAGUUCAGGCCCUGGUGGGUCCCAGUUUGUCCCAGUAUAACCCAGCGGCUCCCAGUCGGGCUCCAGGGGGAUUCCGGUCUGUCCCAACACGAUCCAGCGGCUCCCAGUUCGUCCCAGUCCGCUCCCAGUUUGUCCCAGUUCGUCCCAGUUCCUCCCGGCCUCCAGCGCGGCGGCUCCGCGUUGCCCAGCAACGACCGACUCCGCCCUUUCCGAGCUGCCAAUCAAGCGCCUCGCCCAAUCAGACCGCGAGGCAUCGCCCCCUCCGCAGGGGCGGGCUUGAGCUGACA